rnacentral:tRNA from 3 species
GGAUUAGCUCAGCGGUAGAGUAGUCGGCUGUUAACCGAUUGGUCGUAGGUUCGAAUCCUACAUCCGGAGCCA